rnacentral:rRNA from 1 species
AAUCUGGUUGAUCCUGCCAGUAGUCAUAUGCUUCGAUCAAGGGCUAAGCCAUGCAUGUCUCAGCGCAAUCGGUCUGAAAGAAGGUCUGUGAAUGGCUCCUUACAUCAGCAGUCAUCUAUGCGAUAGCGUGUGGUUGGCACCACCUACCAAAGGUGCCCAGUUGGACAUCCUCCAAAACCUUGAGGCUAAUACACGAAUGCAACGGUCGGCCAUAGCAAUAUCGAGACCAUCGGCUGUCUUCAACGGCAGUUGCCCUGACUCGGUAUGGUGGAUAACACCCAGCUGGUAUGAAGACCAGUGCCUGACAAAGGCAGCGUGCUGUGGGUUGACUCAGGCUGGUCCCCCUGGGACAAAUGUGCUGGCAGAGUGGCGGUUUUGAGCCGCAUUAACAUCGCUUGAUCGCUCGAACUUCUGACUUAUCAGCUGUGAUUGUGGUGUAGUGGACCACAAUGGCUCUUACGAGUAACGGAGAAUCAGGGUUCGAUUCCGGAGAGGGAGCCUGAGAGACGGCUACCACUACCAAGGUGGGCAGCAGGCGCGCAAAUUGCCCAAUGCAGACACCCCUGUGAGGCAGCGACGAUCCGCAGCAAUCCUGCCGACUCUCUGUCGGUGGGACUUGGAAUGGAUGCAAUCCAAACACAGUGAUGAGUAUCAACUGGAGGGCAAGUCUGGUGCCAGCAGCUGCGGUAAUUCCAGCUCCAAGGGCGUAUACUAUCAUUGCUGCUGUUAAAACACCUGUAGUCUGCCACUGGGUUGCAGGUCUGCUGGGUGGCCGGCUGGAUGUAGUUCAACCACGUCCAUGCUGGGCUCAACCCCCGGUGGUAUGUCCCUGCACCCGAGUUAUCUGAUGGUGAGAUCGCUCCUGCCACAAGUCCCCUUCACUGGGGGCCCAAGCAGCCAUGCCCUGAGAGCAGGCCAUGGGGUGCCCUGACUAACCUCAGGUCCCCCAGCCACCGGAGCCCACCGUCGUUGAGAUCCUGGAAAACUCAGUGUGCUCAAGGCGUCCUGUUACUGGCUGAAUGUCCAUCCAUGAAAUCUCCAAGCAACGACCGAGCUGUGGACUGGAGUUGUACUGGCCUUGGAACCCUCUCUGGGCAACACGUCGCAUGUUCCAACCAUGACUGGCGCUAGAGCCUAGGUGGCCUCAAAAGCCACCCUGGCAAGCUGAGAAGGCAAAGCAUAUGUGUCAACCGAAUCCGAUGGGAUCGCUCAGGGUGAAAGAUACUGCAACGCCAGAGGUGAAAUUCUUAGACCGCUGCAAGAUCAGCGGCGGCGAAGGCGUUCUGCAAGUGCUCGUUCGAUCGAUCAAGGAUGAGAGUCUGGGGAGCAAAGAGGAUCAGACACCCUCGUAGUCCAGCACUGUAAACCGUGCCAGCCAGGCCUUAGCAGGGAACCUCAAACCGACCCCGCUAGUGCCAAGCCCCCUACAACGAGAAAUCCACAGCCUGUGGGUUCAGGGGGGAGUACGUUCGCAAGGCUGAAACUUAAAGGAAUUGACGGAAUGGCACCACAAGGCGUGGAGUAUGCGGCUUAAUUUGACUCAACACGGGGAACGUUACCAGGUCAGGACACAGCUAGGAUGGACAGAUUGAGAGCUCUUUCUUGAUCCUGUGGAAGGUGGUGCAUGGCCGCUCCUGAUUGGUGGAGUGAUUUGUCUGGUUGAUUCCGAUAACGAGUGAGACAUCUGCCUCCCAGUAGCCUGGGGCUCGCAUUCGGUAGGGUCUGCCCAGUGAACGGGUCCCUGUUGUGAGACCACUGGGGUUCGUCCCCUCUGGAGGAUCGACACACCCCGCUGGCGCGCCCGAGAGCCCCCAGUUCCCAAAUGCUUCUCUGAGGUGCUGUGUACGCCGCCAAGUGCAUGCAUGCUAGAGCCAACAGCAGGUCUGUGAUGCUCCCAGAUGUCCUGGGCCGCACGCGCACUACACUGAUCGAGUGAAGGAGUCCUAGUGCCUGCUCUGUCAGGCCCUGGCCGGAAGUGGCUGGGAAACCCUACAAGUCUGGAUCGUGCUGGGGAUAGAUGAUUGUAACUGUCUGCCUUGAACGUGGAAUGCCUAGUAGGCGUUGGUCACCAGCCAACACCGAUUGUGUCCCUGCCAUUUGUACACACCGCCCGUCGUUGCUACCGAUGAUCGCUGGAUAGAACCAUCAGGAGGUCAGGCCAGCCCCUGUGUCGAGCCACAGCUGAAAUUGGGUGAUGCCCAGUGACUAGAGGAAGCAAAAGUCGUAACAAGGUUGCUGUAGGUGAACCUGCAGAAGGAUCAAGCUUG